GACGAACCGAGCGAACGUUGUUCGGAAUCACUGGGCUUAAAGGGCGCGUAGGCGGGCAUUCAAGUCUGUGGUGAAAUCCUCCAGCUCAACUGGAGAACUGCCAUGGAUACUGGGUGUCUCGAGGAAGAUAGGGGUAUGCGGAACGAUUGGUGGAGCGGUGAAAUGCGUUGAUAUCAAUCGGAACUCCGGUGGCGAAGGCGGCAUACUGGAUCUUAUCUGACGCUGAGGCGCGAAAGCUAGGGGAGCAAACGGG
rnacentral:rRNA from 1 species